GAGACAAUCACAGCUUCCAUGUUGAUGUGUGACUUGACAUUUUUUCAAACUUUAGAGGAUGACUUUACAUCAAUGACAGAAAACAAAACAAAACAAAACAAACAAACAAAAAAACAACAUAUAACUUCUACCUGAAAAAAUAGUCUCCUACUAAAUUUUGCUCUCUCCAUGCUUCUUUUCUCUUUUAGCAGAACCAGAUGCUGAAAUAGAGAGCAGAACUCCUGUGGACAUCAGAGAGUGCAGAACUGAGCCAUCAAGAAGUUGCAAGAAGGUCUGGAUAUAAUGACAGCCAGAAGCUUGGAGAAGAGAGCAAAAGAAAGCUCAAUCUGUACAUGCCGUGUCCUUAUGCUGUGCUAAGUAUCCACAAAGACCACUGCUGGAAACCGGAUAAAAGGCUAGAUGGACUUCUCCUCUAAUCUAUGGCCAUAUUUAUAUUUUUAUGAGCUGGCUUCUGUCCAGGCAGGUUGAGAGUCCUGCACUUCCUGGGAUUAUCCAGUGUCCCACUAGAAUACAACAGUCCACACGUUCAUUUACAGGUUUGAAGACCAGGAUCGUCUAGAAAAGUAACAAAUUUGAUUUUCUGAAUGGCCAUGUCUGGCAUAAUUUACAUGGCAGAUCCAACAUCUAGAACAUUUCUUGCUCUAACUUGUAACAAAACACAUGGCAAGCAAAAGGCCAUUCUUUCUAAGUCAAAGGGCAGCCUCCAUGGGUCAAGAAAAGCAGUCCCGAGUCUAUGUGUUCAGGCCAAUACUAAUGUGAGAUAAGGAUGAAUUAUAUCACCUGUCCUGUAUGGUAGCACCACCUGCUUCUCCAAUGGAAGGCAGAGACAACUCUGGAGUAAAUGAACACAAUAUGUCAUUUUUGCUGAAGACAGAUCUCUUGAGCAACAACUCAACUGCUCUGCAGGCAGAAACCAAACCAUUGUCCAAAUUACAAAAUCCAACAUGAGGUUAAUAGAUUCUGAUGAAAAUAUAAAGACAAUGAGAUUCCCAGCAGCUUCCAGCUAAAGGCUUGCCUUUCAGAGGGCAAAAGGUUACAAAAGGUGAACCUACUCGUGCUUUGGCAGACUCAUGAUUGGUGUGGAAAUUCAACAGGAAAUAAUGUAAUGAAUUGGCAAGGCAGCUGCUGAUAUUCAGAAGCCUGGAUCACUGAAAACCUGUAACUGACAGAUCAAACUCUGGCUCUCCAGCUCAGAUAUUCCUUUCACCUUUGCACACAGAUGUGAGUGCUGGAAAUCCACCAAAGGUAUAAACAAGAUAUCUCAAUACUUUGGAAAGUAAAUGCCAUACGAAAACAAAACAAAACCCUGAGGAUUAAAUGGAAUGAGUUUGUAAGAAAUACUGGGAUUCCUCAAGUUUUUGACAGCCCCUUAUCUCCAGUGGGAUAUAUUUAAGCUAUGUGGAAAAUGCAAAGGCAGAGCAUCUGCCACAGCAGGUAGGACACUAAACAGCAGGAGAAGCAUAUGAAAGGAGAUAGCUGAAAGAACAGAAAUAUCAAAACUCACUCAAAGGGGGAAAAAUAAAGGAGUAAAUGACAAGGAGGACA
rnacentral:lncRNA from 1 species